GACGAACGCUGGCGGCGUGCUUAACACAUGCAAGUCGAACGGAAAGGCCCCUUUGGGGGUACUCGAGUGGCGAACGGGUGAGUAACACGUGAGUAACCUGCCCUUGACUUCGGGAUAACUUCAGGAAACUGGGGCUAAUACCGGAUAGGAAUCCUUGCUGCAUGGUGGGGGUUGGAAAGCUUCGGCGGUUUUGGAUGGACCCGCGGCUUAUCAGCUUGUUGGUGGGGUAGUGGCUUACCAAGGCUUUGACGGGUAGCCGGCCUGAGAGGGCGACCGGCCACAUUGGGACUGAGAUACGGCCCAGACUCCUACGGGAGGCAGCAGUGGGGAAUAUUGCACAAUGGGCGGAAGCCUGAUGCAGCAACGCCGCGUGCGGGAUGACGGCCUUCGGGUUGUAAACCGCUUUCAGCAGGGGCGAAGCUUGUGGUGACGGUACCUGCAGAAGAAGCACCGGCUAACUACGUG
rnacentral:rRNA from 1 species